UACGAAGGGGGCAAGCGUUGUCCGGAAUCAUUGGGCGUAAAGAGCGUGUAGGCGGCCCGGUAAGUCCGCUGUGAAAGUCCAGGGCUCAACCCUGGGAUGCCGGUGGAUACUGUCGGGCUCGAGUCCGGAAGAGGAGUGUGGAAUUCCUGGUGUAGCGGUGAAAUGCGCAGAUAUCAGGAGGAACACCAAUGGCGAAGGCAGCACUCUGGGACGUGACUGACGCUGAGACGCGAAAGCGUGGGGAGCAAACAGG
rnacentral:rRNA from 1 species